AAUGAACGUUGGCGGCAUGGAUUAGGCAUGCAAGUCGCGCGAUAUCGUAGCAAUACGUGAAAGCGGCGAAAGGGACAGUAAUGUGUGGGUAUCUACCCUGGGGUCACGGAUAGCGGCGGGAAACUGCCGGUAAUACGUGAUGAUCUCCCCGGAGCAAAGGUGCAAUUCCGCCCUGGGAUGGGCCCACAUGCUAUUAGCUAGUUGGCGGGGUAACGGCCACCAAGGCGAAGAUGGCUAGCGGGUGUGAGAGCACGACCCGCGUCACUGGGACUGAGACACUGCCCAGACACCUACGGGUGGCUGCAGUCGAGAAUCUUCGGCAAUGGGCGCAAGCCUGACCGAGCGAUGCCGCGUGCGGGAUGAAGGCCCUCGGGUUGUAAACCGCUGUCGAGUGGGAUGAAAUUGCGGUGGGUUCUCCCAUCGUAUUGACAGAUCCCUGGAGGAAGGGUGGGCUAAGUUCGUGCCAGCCGCCGCCGUAACAC
rnacentral:rRNA from 1 species